UAAACAGUGUUUAAUUGUCUUGUUUUACAUUAAAUUUCUUUUAUUCUUUUUCUAAUUUGCUGUAGAACUUCACCUUCGAAUGUGCAUGGCAACUCUCUCAGGUUUAUUGAGACACUCGCAAGAUCCUCAGUGAAGGGAAGGUCAGGACUGUGGGAGAAAUGAACCCAGAUGACAAACUGAAGUCCAAAUUUCCAGCAAGGUAUCUUUCUGAGCUGCUGGCACCACAAGUGUUUCAGAAAAGCAACAGCAGCCCUUCAAGAGCCCUGCAAACCUUCCAGCACCUUGAAAACCUGUCAUGCCUCUUUGGCUUCUCAGAGUUUAAUAAAGCUUGAUUUGUGUUGAAAACUCCAAGUGAAACCAGGUCAAAGAUUUUGACUGGGAUCUCUGCAGUUCUCCUCACACCU
rnacentral:lncRNA from 1 species